UACGUAGGGGACAAGCGUUGUCCGGAUUUAUUGGGCGUAAAGAGCGUGUAGGCGGCCAGACAGGUCCGUUGUGAAAACUCGAGGCUCAACCUCGAGACGCCGAUGGAAACCGUCUGGCUAGAGUCCGGAAGAGGAGAGUGGAAUUCCUGGUGUAGCGGUGAAAUGCGCAGAUAUCAGGAAGAACACCCGUGGCUAAGGCGGCUCUCUAGUACGGUACUGACGCUGAGACGCGAAAGCGUGGGGAGCGAACAGG
rnacentral:rRNA from 1 species